GAUAAACGCUGGCGGCGUGCUUAACACAUGCAAGUCGAACGAAGUUUUUCCUUCGGGAGAAACUUAGUGGCGGACGGGUGAGUAACGCGUGGGUAACCUGCCCUGUACAGGGGGACAACAGCUGGAAACGGCUGCUAAUACCGCAUAAGCACUUAGCACUGCAUGGUGCAUAGGGAAAAGGAGCAAUCCGGUACAGGAUGGACCCGCGUCUGAUUAGCCAGUUGGCAGGGUAACGGCCUACCAAAGCGACGAUCAGUAGCCGAGAUGAGAGGAUGUACGGCCACAUUGGGACUGAGACACGGCCCAGACUCUUACGGGAGGCAGCAGUGGGGAAUAUUGCACAAUGGAGGAAACUCUGAUGCAGCGACGCCGCGUGAGUGAAGAAGUAUUUCGGUAUGUAAAGCUCUAUCAGCAGGGAAGAAAAUGACGGUACCUGACUAAGAAGCACCGGCUAAAUACGUG
rnacentral:rRNA from 1 species